GCUAAGGUCCCGAAAUCCAGGUUAAGUGGCAAAGGAUGUUGGAUCGCUCAGACAACCAGGAUGUUGGCUUAGAAGCAGCCAUCAUUGAAAGAGUGCGUAACAGCUCACUGGUCGAGUGGUCCAGCGCCGAAAAUCCAACGGGGCUCAAACCUGGUACCGAAGCUACGGAUUCACGAUCCACUGCGGUGGAUCGAGAGUGGUAGGGGAGCGUUCCAUGCGCAGUGAAGGUGGACCGUGAGGACCGCUGGAGCUCAUGGAAGUGCGAAUGCCGGAACGAGUAGCGAAAUGUGCGUGAGAAACGCACACGCCGUAUGCCUAAGGUUUCCUGAGGAAGGUUAAUCCGCUCAGGGUCAGUCGGUCCUAAGUCGAGGCCUAAAGGCGUAGACGAUGGAUGUCCGGUCUACAUUCCGGAACCGCUCGAGACCGCUAUCAGCGAAGGGGUGACCCGAUCUGGUAGUCCCAGCGCACUUUGGCUAUGUGCGUCUAAGCUCGUAACCAUCCCUUGAUAGGUAAAUCCGUCGAGGGGAUAAGGUGAAAAGCGAAUGCGAGCUCCAGCAAUGGAGCGAGUGGGAUGAGCCAAGUCGGCGAGAAAAGCCUCUAGCGAGGUCGAGAGUGACCGUACCGCAAACCGACGCAGGUAGGCGGGUGGAGUACACCAAGGCGAUCGGGAGAACCCUCCUAAAGGAACUCUGCAAAAUGACCCCGUAACUUCGGGAGAAGGGGUGCCUCGCGCGCCCUCGCUUUACCGCGAGGGGAAGCGAUCGAGGCCUCAGAUAAACGGGCCAAGCGACUGUUUAACAAAAACACAGGUCUCUGCGAAGGGGAAACCCUACGUAUAGGGGCUGACGCCUGCCCAGUGCCGGAAGGUUAAUGGGAGAGCUGAAAGGCUUGAACUGAAGCCCCGGUGAACGGCGGCCGUAACUAUGACCAAGACCGUUGUAGUUCCGAGAACAAAUCUGGCUAUUUGCUGGGAUACCCGAGCAUCCUGCGCUACCUCUUGUCACGGCGUCGCCGUUUGACUAUGAGGUGACAAUGCGACAGGUGCGGGCAAUCAGCAGGAAAGACUCCGAGCCCGCGGAUUUCGAUGUUGAAGCCAUCACCGAUGCCGUCGGCCACUACCUGGCCGGCUUCGCGAACGGUGAGGGCAGCUUCAACCUCUCGUUCCGCCCACGUGGCGAUUAUCGCCAGCCGUGGAAGAUCUCCCUCUGCUUCAACGUCUCACAACGGGAUCCCGCUGUGUUACUUCUGCUUCGCGAGCAAUUGCGAUGCGGAACGAUGCGGCAGCGCACGGACGGUGUCUGGUAUUACGAGGUGAACAACCUGGCCGACAUCGAGCGCCACGUGAUUCCGUUCUUCAGACGGUUCGGCUUUCUUGCGCCGACCAAGCAGCGUGAUUUCGCCAAGUUCUGCGAACUCACGGCGCUCAUCCUCCAACGACGACACCUGACGCCCGAAGGCGUCCGAGAGAUCUUGGAGAUACGCAGGGACAUGAACGAUGGCGGCAAGCGCCGCUACACCGAGGAGGAGAUCCUCGCGCGAUGCAAUAUCGGAGAAUCCUCAGAGACUGCACGCCAGACGCCGGCACAAGCGCCGGCGAUGAGAUAGUCCGAACUGCACGGCGACGUGCAGAGUGGGUGUGAACCCCACCCUCCAGCGCUGGAGCGCAACAGAUGAACGGUCCUAAGGUAGCGAAAUUCCUUGUCGGGUAAGUCCACAGCUUGCCCCGAAGUGGAGCGAUCUACUUCGUCCCAACCGGCUCAUAUCGGCGGAGCCCACACGUGUCUUGCGGAAGAUGCGCGGGUAAUGCCGAGGGAAGUCCUCGUGACCCCGUAACGACUGUCUCGCGCGCGAUCUUGUGCGCGAGCGGUGGCGCUCACCACUCAAUCGGAGUGAAUCCACGAACGCCACAACACGCCGGCAUCUGAAGAUCAGAUGAACGCAUAGUCUGCGCCGCUCGAAAGAGCGAACAGCGUGAAGUUCCGACCCGCACGAAAGGCGUAACGACUUGGCCGCUGUCUCUAGGAGGGACCCGGCGAAACUGAGAUACCCGUGAAGACGCGGGUUACGCACACUUGGACAAAAAGACCCCGUGGAGCUUUACUGCAUCUUGGCAUUGGACUGGGGUUACGCUUGUGUAGCAUAGGUGGGAGACUAUGAAGCCGGCGCGCUAGCGUCGGUGGAGUCACCAGUGAAAUACCACCCUUGCGUGACUUCGGCUCUAACGGCUGUCCGUGAUCCGGCAGCCGGACAUUGCCAGGUGGGCAGUUUGACUGGGGCGGUCGCCUCCCAAAAGGUAACGGAGGCGCCCAAAGGUACCCUCAGGCUGGGUGGAAAUCAGCUUUAGAGUGCAAAGGCAUAAGGGUGCUUGACUGUGAGGCUUACACGCCGAGCAGGGACGAAAGUCGGGCUUAGUGACCUUCUGGUCCCGAGUGGAAGGGCCAGGAAUCAUCGGAUAAAAGCUACCCCGGGGAUAACAGGCUUAUCACGCCCAAGCGUUCACAGCGACGGCGUGGUUUGGCACCUCAAUUUGGGGUGAGGUCGUGGCAACACGAUCAAGGAACCGGCUUAUAACGGUGGACUCCUCAUCGAGGACAACACCGUGGGAAGUCUGUCGAAAGACAUGACCCUGUAACGACUGAUCCGUCUCGCAGAGAGACGGUGAGAUGGUGAUCAGGCUUCGCACGAAGUCAGAUCGCGAUCGCCAUCAGACGCCGGCCCCUCUCGAUCCAAGAGGGUGAAGAGAUAGUCUGCACCGUCGGUAACGACGGAGAUUGCGCGAUGUCGGCUCGUCGCAUCCUGGGGGGGCAGUACCUCCCAAGGGUUGGGCUGUUCGCCCAUUAAAGCGGUACGCGAGCUGGGUUCAGAACGUUGUGAAACAGUUCGGUCUCUAUCCAGUGUGCGCGCAGGUGAGUUGAGAGGAGUUGCCCCCAGUACGAGAGGACCGGGGUGAGCGGACCGAUGGUGUACGAGUUGUCCUGCCAAGGGCAUCGCUCGGUAGCUAUGUCCGUUCCGGAUAACCGCUGAAAGCAUCUAAGUGGGAAGCCGACCUCAAGAUGAGCUCACCCUCUGGGUCAACCAGGUAAGACCGCACGUAGACCACGUGUUUGAUAGGCGGCAGGUGGAAGGAUCGCAAGAUCUGGAGCUAAGCCGUACUAACGGUCGAGAGGCUUGACCUAAUUU
rnacentral:rRNA from 1 species